rnacentral:rRNA from 1 species
UACGGAAGGCAGCAGUGGGGAAUAUUGCACAAUGGGCGCAAGCCUGAUGCAGCCAUGCCGCGUGUAUGAAAAAGGCCUUCGGGUUGUAAAGUACUUUCAGUCGUGAGGAAGGUGUUAAGGUUAAUAACCUUAGCAAUUGACGUUAGCGACAGAAGAAGCACCGGCUAACUCCGUGCCAGCAGCCGCGGUAAUACGGAGGGUGCGAGCGUUAAUCGGAAUUACUGGGCGUAAAGGGCACGCAGGCGGUUAAUUAAGUUGGAUGUGAAAUCCCCGGGCUUAACCUGGGAAUGGCAUUCAAGACUGGUUAGCUAGAGUCUUGUAGAGGGGGUAGAAUUCCAUGUGUAGCGGUGAAAUGCGUAGAGAUGUGGAGGAAUACCGGUGGCGAAGGCGGCCCCUGGGACAAAGGACUGACGCUCAUGUGCGAAAGCGUGGGGAGCAAACAGGGAUUAGAUACC